GUGCCAGCAGCCGCGGUAAUACGUAGGGUGCAAGCGUUAUCCGGAAUUAUUGGGCGUAAAGAGCUCGUAGGCGGUUUGUCACGCCUGGUGUGAAAGUCCAUCGCUUAACGGUGGAUCUGCGCCGGGUACGGGCAGGCUAGAGUGCAGUAGGGGAGAUUGGAAUUCCCGGUGUAACGGUGGAAUGUGUAGAUAUCGGGAAGAACACCAAUGGCGAAGGCAGAUCUCUGGGCUGUUACUGACGCUGAGGAGCGAAAGCAUGGGGAGCGAACAGGAUUAGAUACCCUGGUAGUCC
rnacentral:rRNA from 1 species